GAUUAACGCUGGCGGCGUGCCUAACACAUGCAAGUCGAGCGGCAGCGAGUUUUACACUGAAUUCUGGAAACUUCUGGUAUAAAUAGAAGAGUUAUUCAAGAAUUUUGUGUAAAAUGUCGGCGAGCGGCGGACGGCUGAGUAACGCGUGGGAAAGUACCCCAAAGUGAGGGAUAACGCACCGAAAGGUGUGCUAAUACCGCAUAUGAUCUUCGGAUUAAAGCCUUCGGGCGCUUUGGGAACAGCCUGCGUCAGAUUAGAUAGUUGGUGAGGUAAUGGCUCACCAAGUCGACGAUCUGUAACUGGUUUGAGAGGAUGAUCAGUCAGACUGGAACUGAGACACGGUCCAGACUCCUACGGGAGGCAGCAGUGAGGAAUCUUCCACAAUGGGCGAAAGCCUGAUGGAGCAACGCCGCGUGCAGGAUGAAGGCCUUCGGGUUGUAAACUGCUUUUAUAAGUGAGGAUUAUGACAGUAACUUAUGAAUAAGGAUCGGCUAACUACGUGCCAGCAGCCGCGGUCACACGUAGGAUCCGAGCGUUAUCCGGAGUGACUGGGCGUAAAAGAGUUGCGUAGGUGGUUUAAUAAGCGAAUAGUGAAAUCUGGUGGCUCAACCAUUCAGACUAUUAUUCGAACUGUUGACCUCGAGGAGCAGAAGAGGUAGCUGGGAUUUUCUAGUGUAGGAGUGAAAUCCGUAGAUAUUAGAAGGAACACCGAUGGCGUAGGCAGGCUAUGGGGCCGUUUCUGACACUGAGGCACGAAAGCGUGGGGAGCGAACCGGAUAAGAUACCCGGGUAGUCCACGCCGUAAACGAUGGAUACUAGCUGUUUGGGGUAUCGACCCCCUGAGUAGCGAAGCUAACGCGUUAAGUAUCCCGCCUGUGGAGUACGAUCGCAAGAUUAAAACAUAAAGGAAUUGACGGGGACCCGCACAAGCGGUGGAUCAUGUUCUUUAAUUCGAUGAUAACCGAUAAACCUUACCAGGUCUUGACAUCCUUGGAAUCUUUCAGAAAUGAGAGAGUGCUUUUUAAGAGCUAAGUGACAGGUGAUGCAUGGCCGUCGUCAGCUCGUGUCGUGAGAUGUUUGGUUAAGUCCAUCAACGAGCGCAACCCUUGUGAAUAGUUGUAUUUUUCUAUUCAGACUGCCCCGGCAACGGGGAGGAAGGAGGGGAUGACGUCAGGUCAGUAUUUCCCUUACGUCCUGGGCUAGGAACGUGAUACAAUGGCUAGUACAAUGCGCAGCGAAGCCGCGAGGUGAAGCAAAUCGCAUCAAAGCUAGUCCCAGUUCGGAUUGUAGGCUGAAACUCGCCCGCAUGAAGUCGGAAUCGCUAGUAAUCGCAGAUCAGCAUGCUGCGGUGAAUACGUUCCCGGGUCU
rnacentral:rRNA from 1 species